GUCGGUGCCGUGCGGGGC
rnacentral:miRNA from 1 species